GCUUGCUCUGGUGGAUUAGUGGCGAACGGGUGAGUAACACGUGAGUAACCUGCCCUUGACUCUGGGAUAAGCGUUGGAAACGACGUCUAAUACCGGAUACGAGCUUCAGCCGCAUGGCUAGGAGUUGGAAAGAAUUUCGGUCAAGGAUGGACUCGCGGCCUAUCAGCUUGUUGGUGAGGUAAUAGCUCACCAAGGCGACGACGGGUAGCCGGCCUGAGAGGGUGACCGGCCACACUGGGACUGAGACACGGCCCAGACUCCUACGGGAGGCAGCAGUGGGGAAUAUUGCACAAUGGGCGCAAGCCUGAUGCAGCAACGCCGCGUGAGGGACGACGGCCUUCGGGUUGUAAACCUCUUUUAGCAGGGAAGAAGCGAAAGUGACGGUACCUGCAGAAAAAGCACCGGCUAACUACGUGCCAGCAGCCGCGGUAAUACGUAGGGUGCAAGCGUUGUCCGGAAUUAUUGGGCGUAAAGAGCUCGUAGGCGGUUUGUCGCGUCUGCUGUGAAAACGCGAGGCUCAACCUCGCGCCUGCAGUGGGUACGGGCAAACUAGAGUGCGGUAGGGGAGAUUGGAAUUCCUGGUGUAGCGGUGGAAUGCGCAGAUAUCAGGAGGAACACCGAUGGCGAAGGCAGAUCUCUGGGCCGUAACUGACGCUGAGGAGCGAAAGCAUGGGGAGCGAACAGGAUUAGAUACCCUGGUAGUCCAUGCCGUAAACGUUGGGAACUAGAUGUAGGGACCAUUCCACGGUUUCUGUGUCGCAGCUAACGCAUUAAGUUCCCCGCCU
rnacentral:rRNA from 1 species